rnacentral:lncRNA from 1 species
UUAGAAAAUAAAACAGAUACCAAGUUUUCUUGGCUGACACUGAUUGCUGGAGGCAUCCUGAGGUCAUUGAUGACACUGAAAUUUUUCAUUUGCUCAGACUGCAGGAAAGCCCAUGGGUUGUUCGUGUAAAAUUGCUCCAAGCUGAGAAAGGUAUCAGCCUACAGCUCUUGUAAGGAGUGACGGAAGGAGUGACCUGGAAGCCAGAUAAGAGAUAAAUGCUGAAAGUUUUGCUACUUGUGGAAGUUCUACUCUUUCAGCCACUAAAUGCAGUGUGCCUCAAUGUUCUGCUGAAGAGGUAGCCAGCUCUAAAAACAC